GCCAGGGUAGCUCAGUGGUAGAGCGAAGGACUGAAAAUCCUUGCGUCGGCAGUUCGAUUCUGCCCCUUGGCACCA
rnacentral:tRNA from 1 species